rnacentral:lncRNA from 1 species
CGGCUAAACUUCUAAGUACAUUUGCGAACAGUGCCAGGAUGAGCUGUGAAGCCAGAACAUUCGUGCUGAUAAUGCUACCUUUACUUUGCUAUUUUGAGGGUAUUAUAGGAAUACCGAAGGGUUGCCUCAUCAGGCCGCGUACCAAAUCUUCGGGGAUGCCUCUGCCACGUUGGUACUACAACGCUACUAGCCAUAAAUGCCAACCAGUUAUGUGGGGUGGACAUGGAUACAGUGGAAACGUCUUUAAAUCCUCUGCUCAAUGCGAGAAGACAUGUGGCAGCUUAUAUCGACCAGAGGCCGACGUCUGCCUCCUGACACCCGCGAUCGCCACAUGCAAUCACCCUGGACCUUCUGUUUUAAUGUGGACUUACAACAGUAAAACGAUGACCUGUGUUUCUGUUCAGUACCACGGUUGUAACGGAGGCAAAAACCUCUAUAGGACCUGUAAAAUGUGUCGAAGCACGU